UGCACUCAGAGCUAGACUCAACACAUGUUAUUUCCUGUCUUCUUGCUGCACUCACCUUAAAAGGAAUUGCUAUUGUUCAGUGAUUGGCCAAGGCUUUCCCCAGGGCUUUCCUGUUUGCUCCCAGUUGACUUCCUGGCCAGUGAUUCUUAAUUGCUUAAUUGUAAGGGGUGAGGAGAGGCUGCCUUGAAAAACACACAACAGCUCCUUCCUGUCCCCCAACAAAAACCCGCCCUAUACCAACAAAAGUAGUGCAUACACACACACCCAUAAAAGAAAGCUGGGCCAUUAUACUGUGUUCAUAAGUCACUAGAUUCGUGUAUCACCAGACAUACAGCUGUUGGGGUUUUUCCCCUAUUUAAAAGACUUGUCAGUUCAUAUCUGGUCAGCAUUUCCCUCUAGGGAACUCUCAAGGUUUCCUGAGUGUAGGGAACUAGGAGAGAGGGAGAAAGAGAAAUCCCCUUUUUAAGAAACUCCCUUGAUUCCUGCAAUUUCUGAACCACAACUUUCCUCAGUUGACCAGCCUUGCCUAUCUUGGCUAGUGUCACCAGCCCAGGACAGUUGAUGCCAAGGAUGAGACUGUUAUGGAGUCUAUAUUUCAAACCCUUUACCUAUUUUUUUCUCUAAUAUCCAUAAGAGCCCCAUGAAACAGUGUUGAGGGAAUCACUUAUUUCCCCUUCUCAUAUUUUCAUGGAGGUGGGGGGUGGAUUCCUACUUUAUUCCCUAGCAGGGCCAAGUAUGGAGGAAUACAUCCUAGCUUCCAUCUACCCCUCCCUCAUUUUUCCCCAGGGCAGGAGGAAGACUUACCUGAUCCAGCAGACCAGUGGCUUUCUGAGAAGACUAAGUUGGACCAUCCUCCCCCAGAGAAGUCCUGUUUUUGGCAAGAAAUACUGAACUUCCAGUUGUAGCAAUGAAGUGCUGCAGACUGCUGACUCCAACAUGGAUUACAUCACACAGUUGUUGACAUUAUCCUGGAAAGAGGGAACAGGGCUGGAGGAAAGGAAUGGACUCACUACUUAAUAAGGCAGCCCUUGGGGCCUGCCUGUUCUGAGUGCAGCACAGAUGUCCAGGAGAGAGCUAUCUUGUCAAGAUCAGAUUAGAUUCGACAUUUCUAGAGCUUCUUGCAAGUAGAAUCAUGCAAAAACAACAUGGUUUCUUUCUUGUUUCCCCAGCAUCAUUAAGGUGUAUCCUGAGGAGUAACUCGGUGGAGUCUGAGCCAGUGCAGCAUCCCCACCUGGAGGGGUGUGCAUCCUCAGCUCUGGGUGUUCCUACCAGAUGAACCUUCUAGAUGCUCCUUUUGAUGGCCUGUGACCCCACAGCUCAGUGAUUUCCCAGGUAAGUGUCAUCUAUACUCUGCUGAUCUGCAUGCACAGACCUUUUGGCACCUGCUGGUGAAGUUGGGACAGAGAUGGGGAGGGCUUUGAAAGAUACUUUAUUUUUUAUUAUUUUUUUAAAGAUUUUAUUUAUUUAUUUGACAGAGAAAUAGAGAGAGAGCACAAGUAGGCAGAGUGGCAGGCAGAGGGAGAGGGAGAAGCAGGCUCUCCGAUGAGCAGGGAGCCCCAUGCGGGGCUUGAUCCCA